GACGGAGGAUGCAAGCGUUAUCCGGAAUGAUUGGGCGUAAAGCGUCCGCAGGUGGCAGUUCAAGUCUGCUGUCAAAGACCGGGGCUUAACUUCGGAAAGGCAGUGGAAACUGAACAGCUAGAGUAUGGUAGGGGCAGAGGGAAUUCCUGGUGUAGCGGUGAAAUGCGUAGAUAUCAGGAGGAACACCGGUGGCGAAGGCGCACACCUGGCCCGAUACUGACGCUGAGGCGCGAAAGCUAGGGGAGCAAACGGG
rnacentral:rRNA from 1 species